GAUGAACGCUGGCGGCGUGCCUAAUACAUGCAAGUCGAGCGAAUGGAUUAAGAGCUUGCUCUUAUGAAGUUAGCGGCGGACGGGUGAGUAACACGUGGGUAACCUGCCCAUAAGACUGGGAUAACUCCGGGAAACCGGGGCUAAUACCGGAUAACAUUUUGAACCGCAUGGUUCGAAAUUGAAAGGCGGCUUCGGCUGUCACUUAUGGAUGGACCCGCGUCGCAUUAUCUAGUUGGUGAGGUAACGGCUCACCAAGGCAACGAUGCGUAGCCGACCUGAGAGGGUGAUCGGCCACACUGGGACUGGGACACGGCCCAGACUCCUACGGGAAGCAGAAGUAGGGAAUAUUCCGCAAUGGACGAAAGUCUGACGGAGCAACGCCGCGUGAGUGAUGAAGGCUUUCGGGUCGUAAAACUCUGUUGUUAGGGAAGAACAAGUGCUAGUUGAAUAAGCUGGCACCUUGACGGUACCUAACCAGAAAGCCACGGCUAACUACGUGCCAGCCGCCGCAGUAA
rnacentral:rRNA from 1 species